rnacentral:rRNA from 1 species
GACGAACGCUGGCGGCGUGCUUAACACAUGCAAGUCGAACGAAGAGCGAUGGAAGCUUGCUUCUAUCAAUCUUAGUGGCGAACGGGUGAGUAACGCGUAAUCAACCUGCCCUUCAGAGGGGGACAACAGUUGGAAACGACUACUAAUACCGCAUACGCUCUAAUCUCGGCAUCGAGGAUAGAUGAAAGGUGGCCUCUACAUGUAAGCUAUCACUGAAGGAGGGGAUUGCGUCUGAUUAGCUAGUUGGAGGGGUAGAGGCCCACCAAGGCGAUGAUCAGGAGCCGGUAGGCGAGGAUGAGCGGCCGGAUUGAGAGGGAGACACGGCACAGACUGCUAGGGAAGGGGGCAGUGGGGAAUCUUCAGGAAUGGGCGGAAGUCUGACGGAGAAGGGCGGAGGGAGUGAGGACGGACUUCGGGUUGGAGAGCUCUGUUAAUCGGGACGAAAGGCCUUCUUGCGAAUAGUGAGAAGGAUUGACGGUACCGGAAUAGAAAGCCACGGCUAACUACGUG